GGACAGGAUAUAUAGGCAAGGUGCUGAGGCAGUUAUUACCAUAUAUUCAGAGUUGAUCAGGCUCCGUCCCAUCACUACAGGUCUGCCCCGGUGUCUUCUAGGCAGUGGCGUCGCUAGGGGGGGCCAGAGGGGGCCAUGGCCCCCCCUACAUGAUGCUGUGCCCCCCCUUGGGCCCCCCCAAAUGCCAGCAACUUGCUGGCCAUGGGCUUCCCUCGGACUGUAACAGCCUGUCACAGCCGGGGAGGGAAUGCAGUGCUGAGG